UCUCUCUCUCUCUCUCUCUGCUGCAAAACUAGUGAUGAUUUUGAUCUGAUCGGGCCUCGCUACAUCCUCGACUUCUUCGCCUUAGGUGCAGCAUGGCGACUAAAGGGAACUCAGGAGACCAUAAAACUAGGAGUUCAGUUUCAAUUUUCAUUAUAGUUGGGUUAUGCUGUUUCUUCUACCUCUUGGGUGCAUGGCAGCGAAGUGGCUUUGGAAAGGGCGAUAGUAUUGCCAUGGAGAUCACCAAACAGACACAUUGUAGCAUUCUCAACAAUUUGAAUUAUCAAACGAGUGGUGAUGCAGGAAUAGAUGAUGGUUCUAGAGAUGAAGUGAAGGAGAUUAAGCCAUGUGAUAACAAGUAUAUUGACUUCACACCUUGCCAAGAUCAAAUGAGGGCAAUGACAUUUCCUCGAGAUAAUAUGAUCUAUAGGGAGCGACAUUGUCCGCCUGAAAAAGAGAAGCUGCAUUGCCUAAUUCCAGCGCCCAAAGGGUAUGCAAAUCCAUUUCCAUGGCCAAAGAGUCGUGACUAUGUACCCUAUGCAAAUGCUCCUUACAAGAGCUUGACUGUUGAGAAGGCUGUUCAGAAUUGGAUACAAUAUGAGGGUAAUGUAUUUAGGUUCCCUGGUGGUGGAACCCAGUUUCCUCAUGGGGCAGAUGCAUAUAUCAGUCAACUUGCAUCUGUGAUCCCUAUGGACAAUGGGUUGGUUAGAACUGCAUUAGAUACUGGAUGUGGAGUAAGUAAUUAAAUGAGGUUCUUAUUUUCCUUUAAGGUUCUCUGUUCUUCUUCUCUGUCUUGUUUUAAUACACCCAAACUCUUCCAGCUUUGAUGGCACUUCAAUUUUUUCUUGGUUUUUAUGCUGUCUCUUUGUUAAUCAGCAUCGAAUCUUUGUUUAAUUUUUGUACUAUUUUGUAUUUCACUUGAUUAAAGGCUUGAUUGGUGCUUAGGUUGCAAGUUGGGGUGCAUACCUUUUCAAAAAGAAUGUUAUAGCCAUGUCGUUUGCUCCAAGAGACUCUCAUGAAGCACAAGUUCAAUUUGCAUUGGAAAGAGGUGUUCCAGCUGUUAUUGGUGUCCUUGGAACUAUCAAGUUGCCAUAUCCUUCUAGAGCCUUCGACAUGGCUCACUGUUCUCGUUGCCUGAUUCCAUGGGGUUCUAAUGAUGGAAUGUAUAUGACGGAAGUUGAUCGUGUUCUUAGACCUGGUGGUUAUUGGGUGCUUUCUGGUCCUCCCAUCAGUUGGAGGAAUAAUUACCAAGCAUGGCAGCGUACUGAAGAGGAGCUUGAGGAGGAGCAGAAGAAUAUUGAAGAAGUUGCCAAACUUCUUUGCUGGGAAAAGAAGCAUGAGAUAGGUGAAAUAGCCAUCUGGCAGAAAAGAAUAAAUUAUGAUUCUUGCCGUGAGCUAGAUCCUCAGCCUACUAUGUGCCAAUCUACAAACACAGAUGAUGUGUGGUACAAGAAAAUGG
rnacentral:misc_RNA from 1 species